UGGAAAGCAGUGCAAAUGAAAACCACCUCUGGUCAGCAGGUGUUUACAGGAAAGAAGCAGUUUGGCUCUCUCUGUGAUUACCAAAGCAGAGCGAAAGCCUUCAACUACGGACCACUGCAAUUUCCACCAUAACAGGCAACCCAGCAAUUAGAACCGUUUGUUACAGUGACAGCAGAGAGAACCAUUUUCAAGCAACAAGGCACAGGAGCAGGAGCUGCAGGAAGAGAGUCUGUUCAUUUGAAGGGGACUAACGCCACACAGCAGCUAAUCCUGGAAUGACAGGCAGUUUUGGAAACAGCCUGCAAAGGCUGAGAUAUUCACAUACAUUCUUGAACUUGUGGAAAAGGCCUAAUCUUGCUUUUUCUAACCAGGAAUAAAAUUGGAUCAUAAAAUCUGGCAUUCGGGAAGAGACAAAGGUUAUCUUUGGAUUUUAUUUCUCCCUGUCUCAAAUGAAGCGAUAAUACUACUCACUUACCACAAAGAAACCAUCUGAGAAUUAGUAAAAUGAGGUGGAAUGUUUGAUCUUCUCAGAAAAAGCAAGGAUGAGGCUUUGUUUUCUUCCUAUUAUUCAUUUUGCAGAACCACUGCUCUGGCACCACAGCAGCUUCUGCCAGAGUCAGAGGUGAGGUCAUGCUUGACUGAAGAAAUCUAAGAUCAAUUUGUUGUCUCAUAUUUCAACAUUAAAUGCAGCUUGAAAUAUAAUUGUUAGUCCAUGCACUCGCUGCCUUAAGGAAGUGUUCCAGCACCUCAG
rnacentral:lncRNA from 13 species